CCCUAGCGAGUCUGACGGAGCACGCCGCGUGAGUGAUGAAGGCUUUCGGGUCGUAAAACUCUGUUGUUAGGGAAGAACAAGUGCUAGUUGAAUAAGCUGGCACCUUGACGGUACCUAACCAGAAAGCCACGGCUAACUACGUGCCAGCAGCCGCGGUAAUACGUAGGUGGCAAGCGUUAUCCGGAAUUAUUGGGCGUAAAGCGCGCGCAGGUGGUUUCUUAAGUCUGAUGUGAAAGCCCACGGCUCAACCGUGGAGGGUCAUUGGAAACUGGGAGACUUGAGUGCAGAAGAGGAAAGUGGAAUUCCAUGUGUAGCGGUGAAAUGCGUAGAGAUAUGGAGGAACACCAGUGGCGAAGGCGACUUUCUGGUCUGUAACUGACACUGAGGCGCGAAAGCGUGGGGAGCAAACAGGAUUAGAUACCCUGGUAGUCCACGCCGUAAACGAUGAGUGCUAAGUGUUAGAGGGUUUCCGCCCUUUAGUGCUGAAGUUAACGCAUUAAGCACUC
rnacentral:rRNA from 1 species